rnacentral:rRNA from 1 species
AGCUCCAAUAGCGUAUAUUAAAGUUGUUGUGGUUAAAAAGCUCGUAGUUGGAUCUCGGCGGAUUGAGGGCGGUUUGCUUGAUUGAGUUAUUCCGCUCUAAUGGGCGGGGUUUUGCCAGGGGUUUCGGGGCGCUCUUUACCGUGUGUUCUGCGGAUGCUGGCAGGUUUACUUUGAAAAAAUUAGAGUGCUCAAAGCAGGCUUUUACGCCUGAAUAUUCGUGCAUGGAAUAAUAGAAUAGGAAGUCGUUUCUAUUUUGUUGGUUUUCGGAAAUCGACUUAAUGAUUAAUAGGGACAGUCGGGGGCAUUUGUAUUCAAACGACAGAGGUGAAAUUCUUGGACCGUUUGAAGACAAACUACUGCGAAAGCAUUUGCCAAGAAUGUUUUCA